UACGUAGGGGGCAAGCGUUGUCCGGAAUUAUUGGGCGUAAAGAGCGCGUAGGCGGUCCGAUAAGUCGGCUGUGAAAGUCAGGGGCUCAACCCUUGAAAGCCGGCCGAUACUGUCGGACUAGAGUCCGGAAGAGGCGAGUGGAAUUCCCGGUGUAGCGGUGAAAUGCGUAGAGAUCGGGAGGAACAUCAGUGGCGAAGGCGGCCAUCUGGAUCAACACUGACGCUGAGGCACGAAAGCGUGGGGAGCAAACAGG
rnacentral:rRNA from 1 species